rnacentral:ncRNA from 1 species
AAACAAUUUAAUUAGGGUUAUACUAUGUUUUGUGAGGUUUUACAAAUAAAAUUUCCCUAUUAAUAAUUUGACUAGUGUUUUAAAAAUAAUUCCUUAGAUUGACCUACCUUUGAGUUUAUUAAGGAAAGGCACUUUAAAUGGGCUCUACACCAGUAAAGGAUUUUUAUUGUAUUAUAGAAAUAUAGAAUAAGCAUGAGGAAAUUAGAAGAGAUAAAAAUUGGUGCCAGCAAUCGCGGUUAGACCAGUAUCAUCAAGCCAAUGGACUGAAAUCGGAUAAAAGUGAAGUAAAAAGUAAAACAGAUUAAUUUACAGUAGGGACGGUAAAAUGAUCUACAAAAAGUCGUGAGAAUGUUUGCGCGUGAACUAUCUUAAUUAUGGUUUUUACAACUCAAUCUAUCAAGGCUGCAGUUAAAAACAGGGACUAGUUCCCCUUUAUUAAAGCUUUUUAUUAGGUGUGCGGAGACUACGAGCAAAAAAGCUUAAAAACCAAAGGGGUUGGCGGCGUUUCAAAUCCGGUUAGGGGAACUUGGCGAUUAAAUUGAUGAACCUCGAAAAUUUUACCUUUAGUUUACCUUACAUACCGCCGUUGUGAUAGGCUUUUAUGAGGGAAGGGUUUUACUUAAUAUUUAUGAGUUGGAGUAAUUUUAUUUAAUAGCUCUAUCUUUAUAGAAAUUCAGGUCAACGUGUAGGAUCUAAAGGGUUUAGCUGAGUUACAAUUUUUAUAAAAUAUGGAAUUAUAAAGUUAAGUUUAUAUAGAAAGUGGACUUAUUAGUAAAACUUUAGUAUAAAUGAAGUUUGAAUAGUGUCAUGAAAUGCGUACAAAUCGCCCGGCGCCCUCACAUAUAGUAAGAUGAGGUAAGUCGUAACAUAGUAAUGCUAGUAGAAACUGGCGUUAAGUAAAU